UACAGAGGCCCCGAGCGUUAAUCGGAAUCACUGGGCUUAAAGGGUGCGCAGGCGGAUCGGAAAGUGUUUUGUGAAAUCCCUCGGCUCAACCGGGGAACAGCAGGGCAUACUACCGAUCUUGAGACAGGUAGGGGUCGAUGGAACCAUGGGUGGAGCGGUGAAAUGCGUAGAUAUCCAUGGGAACGCCAAUGGCGAAGGCAGUCGACUGGGCCUGUUCUGACGCUCAGGCACGAAAGCGUGGGGAGCAAAC
rnacentral:rRNA from 1 species